rnacentral:rRNA from 1 species
ACCUCAACUCAGGCAAGAAAACGCCGUGAACUAAAGCAUUUCAGUAACGGCAGGAAAAGAAAAUAACAAUGAUUCCCGUAGUAACUGCGAGUGAAGUGGGAUCAGUCCAACGUUGAAAGCGGCAUCUGUAACAGGGUGUGGCAUUGUAACGUAUAGACUUGUCAUCGAGGCAUCUGACUGGACUAAAGUCGUUAAGAAUGGCACACCACAGAGGGUUGUAGUCCCGUAUAUGGUUCGGUAUCAGAUGUCGUGAAUGGCAAAGUCCAAGAGUCGGAUUGUUUGGGAAUGCAGUCCAAAGUGGGUGGUAAACUCCAUCUAAGGCUAAAUAUUACUCCGAGACCGAUAGCAAACAAGUACCGUGAGGGAAAGGUGAAAAGAAUUCUGAGAAGAGAGUGAGAAGAACGUGAAACCGUUAGUGGGGAAGCGGACGAUGUAGUCGUAGUUAACUAGUGUUUGUGUUUUUCAAUUUUUGUAAAAUUCUUAACGCUGGCUAACGCGCCAGGCUCUAUGCUAAUGCGGCUGGCAGUGUACUGGGUGGUUCAGCAAAGAGUGUUCCAUUAGGAAUGCUCUGUUGGCUGCAAGUGCAAACUGUUGUAGAGUCGCGCGGCAUAGAUGUGUGUGCUUGUGCGUCAGAGGUGCGUUGACGUGUAGUCGGUGCGAAUUCACAAAGUGGGACACAUUGGUGUAGCGUUGACGUAGUUUUGGCGUUUCGACGAACGUCGCGCACAAACUCUUGGCGAGAUAUGACAUUGUCCGACCCGUCUUGAAACACGGACCAAGGAGGCUAACAUAUGCGCGAGUCGAGGAGUGGAGAAACUCUAUGGCGUAACGAAAGUGAAAUGUGAGAUUGCGCAAUGUCGAGUUGUGCACGCAUCACAGACCAGUCGGAAGUUUGACUACGAUUGAGUUGGAGCGUAUAUGCUAGAACCCGAUAGAUGGUGACCUAUUCCUGAGCAGAGCGAAUUCAUUGGAAACAAUGAUGGAGGCUCGUAGCGGUUCUGACGUGCAAAUCGAUCGUCAAACUUGGGUAUAGGGGCGAAAGACUUAUCGAACCAUCUAGUAGCUGGUUCCCUCCGAAAUAUCCCUCAGGAUCGCCGAAGCUCUCAGCAGUUUCAUCGGGUAGAGCGAAUGAUUAGAGGCAUCGGGGCUAUUUUUAGCCUCAACCUAUUCUCAAACUGCGAACCGGUGACAUGUGGUCGAUGAUUUCUUGAUUGAAUCGUUGAUGCCGUAAGGCUGAAUGCAUGAGUUUCGAGUGGGCCGUUUUUGGUAAGCAGAACUGGCGAUGCGGGAUGAACCGAGAGUCGGGUUAAAGUGCCUAAGUCGCGGCCAAUGGACACCAUAAAAGGAGUUGGUAAAUAGUGACAGUGAGGCUGUGGUCCUAUAAGUAGAUAUCAGCUAAGAAGUGUGCAACAACUUACUUACCGAAUUUACUGGCCCUGAAAAUGGAUGGCGCUUAGCCGCGCACUGAUACCCGACCGUAGACGCGAGAAAUGAGUCGUCUAUGGGUAGGAGGGUGCUAUGGUUGCGUAGAAGUAUCAACGUGAGUUGGUGUGGAGCAGCCAUAGGUACAGAUCUUGGUUUUAGUAGCAGCGUAUAGAAGUGAGAACCUUCUAGGCCGAAGUGGAGAAGGGUUCCUCGUGAACAGCAGUUGGACGAGGGUUAGUCGGUCCUAAGCAGAAGCUCACAUGCUGAGUAAUAGGAGACGUUUUGUAUCUAAUGUGCUCGCACAUAAUGCUUCGUCUCAGUCUGCGAAAGGGAAUCAGGUUAAUAUUCCUGAACCAGGUGUCGGAUAACCAGUAUUGUCUGGCGACUCUGGAUGGCGUCAGUCGUCUGGUAUUGCCGUGGUAAUGUUGGUAAAGCGGUAACGCAAACGAACUCGGAGACGUUGUUGGUAGUUCUGGAAAGAGUUGUCUUUUCUAGUUAACUGGUUGCAUGAGCCUGGAAUAGAGUCAUUCAGAGAUAGGCUUAACAUCCGGGAAGAGCGUCGCAUCUGAGUGGCGUCCGGAAUACUACCAAUGAUCCUUGAAAAUCCGAGGGAGUGAAUGAUUGUCGUACCUGGCCGUACCGAGAUCCGCAUCAGGUCUCCAAGGUGAAAAGCCUCUGGCUCUAGAAUAAUGUGGGUAAGGGAAGUCGGCAAAAUAGAUUCGUAACUUCGGGAAAAGGAUUGGCUCUAAGGAUUGGACUAUUCGGAUUGAUGUCUCGUAAAAGAGACGAUCGUCGACGCUGUAUCUCGUGGCUGGUUGGGUUUCCUUCUGGUCGCGGUUGCAGAUGUUGGCGUAUUGUUACUUUCACCAGGUGUCAAUUUACAGUGGUGUAGGCAGCGAAUACCCAUUUGUCUGUUUGCACCCUGUCUCGCGAGUAGUUUAAAUCAAUCAACUUAGAACUGUCACUAACUAGGGGAAUCCGACUGUUUAAUUAAAACAAAGCAUUGCGAUGGCUGGAAACGGUGUUGACGCAAUGUGAUUUCUGCCCAGUGCUC